rnacentral:rRNA from 1 species
GAUGAACGCUAGCGGCGGGCCUAAUACAUGCAAGUUGAACGGGAUUGUUGGUAGCAAUAUUGACAUGAGAGUGGCGCACGGGUGCGUAACACGUAUGUAACCUACCUUUAACUGGGGCAUAGCUUCGAGAAAUCGAAAUUAAUACCCCAUAACAUUUAGAAAAGGCAUCUUUUCUUUAUCAAAGCUCAGGCGGUUAAGGAUGGACAUGCGGUGCAUUAGCUUGUUGGUGAGGUAACGGCUCACCAAGGCUACGAUGCAUAGGGGGUCUGAGAGGAUGAUCCCCCACACUGGUACUGAGACACGGACCAGACUCCUACGGGAGGCAGCAGUAGGGAAUAUUGGGCCAAUGGACGAAAGUCUGACCCAGCCCACGCCGCGUGAAGGAUUGAAUGCCCUCUGGGUUGUAAACUUCUUUUGUAUGGGAAGAAAACUUCGAACGUGUUCGGAGCUGACGGUACCAUAAGAAUAAGCAAUCGGCU